AGGCCGCUUUGCCGAGAAGGUGCUCGGUCCCGACGAGCUGCGUGUCUAUCACGCACGCAACGCUCGUUCGGCCGCGCGCGGGCUC
rnacentral:tRNA from 1 species